CGAGUUAUCUGAACCUUCGGGGAACGAUAACGGCGUCGAGCGGCGGACGGGUGAGUAAUGCCUAGGAAAUUGCCCUGAUGUGGGGGAUAACCAUUGGAAACGAUGGCUAAUACCGCAUGAUGCCUACGGGCCAAAGAGGGGGACCUUCGGGCCUCUCGCGUCAGGAUAUGCCUAGGUGGGAUUAGCUAGUUGGUGAGGUAAGGGCUCACCAAGGCGACGAUCCCUAGCUGGUCUGAGAGGAUGAUCAGCCACACUGGAACUGAGACACGGUCCAGACUCCUACGGGAGGCAGCAGUGGGGAAUAUUGCACAAUGGGCGCAAGCCUGAUGCAGCCAUGCCGCGUGUGUGAAGAAGGCCUUCGGGUUGUAAAGCACUUUCAGUCGUGAGGAAGGUAGUGUAGUUAAAAACUGCAUUAUUUGACGUUAGCGACAGAAGAAGCACCGGCUAACUCCGUGCCAGCAGCCGCGGUAAUACGGAGGGUGCGAGCGUUAAUCGGAAUUACUGGGCGUAAAGCGCAUGCAGGUGGUUUGUUAAGUCAGAUGUGAAAGCCCGGGGCUCAACCUCGGAAUUGCAUUUGAAACUGGCAGACUAGAGUACUGUAGAGGGGGGUAGAAUUUCACGUGUAGCGGUGAAAUGCGUAGAGAUCUGAAGGAAUACCGGUGGCGAAGG
rnacentral:rRNA from 1 species